rnacentral:rRNA from 1 species
GACGAACGCUGGCGGCGUGCUUAACACAUGCAAGUCGAACGGAAAGGCCCUGCUUUUGUGGGGUGCUCGAGUGGCGAACGGGUGAGUAACACGUGAGUAACCUGCCCUUGACUUUGGGAUAACUUCAGGAAACUGGGGCUAAUACCGGAUAGGAGCUCCUGCUGCAUGGUGGGGGUUGGAAAGUUUCGGCGGUUGGGGAUGGACUCGCGGCUUAUCAGCUUGUUGGUGGGGUAGUGGCUUACCAAGGCUUUGACGGGUAGCCGGCCUGAGAGGGUGACCGGCCACAUUGGGACUGAGAUACGGCCCAGACUCCUACGGGAGGCAGCAGUGGGGAAUAUUGCACAAUGGGCGGAAGCCUGAUGCAGCAACGCCGCGUGCGGGAUGACGGCCUUCGGGUGGUAAACCGCUUUCGCCUUGACGAAGCGUGAGUGACGGUAAUGGGUAAAGAAGCACCGGCUAACUACGUG